GCCUGCAUGGCACAGUGGUUUUGAGCGUUGGACAAUGACUCUGGAGACCAGGGUUUGAUUCCCUGCUCAACCA